GAUGAACGCUGGCGGCGUGCCUAAUACAUGCAAGUCGAGCGAACAGACGAGGAGCUUGCUCCUCUGACGUUAGCGGCGGACGGGUGAGUAACACUUGGAUAACCUACCUAUAAGACUGGGAUAACUUCGGGAAACCGGAGCUAAUACCGUAUAAUAUAUUGAACCGCAUGGUUCAAUAGUGAAAUACGGUUUUGCUGUCACUUAUAGAUGGAUCCGCGCCGCAUUAGCUAGUUGGUAAGGUAACGGCUUACCAAGGCAACGAUGCGUAGCCGACCUGAGAGGGUGAUAGGCCACACUGGAACUGAGACACGGUCCAGACUCCUAAGGGAGGCAGCAGUAGGGAAUCUUACGCAAAGGGCGAAAGCCUGACGGAGCAACGCCGCGUGAGUGAUGAAGGUCUUCGGAGCGUAAAACUCUGUUAUUAGGGAAGAACAAAUGUGUAAGUAAAUAUGCACGUCUUGACGGUACCUAAUCAGAAAGCCACGGCUAACUAUGUG
rnacentral:rRNA from 1 species